rnacentral:pre_miRNA from 1 species
AGCCCUCUGUAUCCGAGCUGAGAUUUCGUCAGCGAUCACCCUGUCGGGGCUGAUGCAACUUCCCAAAUAAGUGAGGCG